rnacentral:rRNA from 1 species
GAUUUCUGGCGAGACAUAUCUGGCCGGCCACGGUUUCGUGUGUUAGUGCUUGAUAUUCUAGCCAUCCUUCCAAUGGCUAUUCAUCCUUCUUCAUUGAGGUGGUGAGUGGUAUUGGAUCUUUUACUUUGAAAAAAUUAGAGUGUUUCAAGCAGGCUUUAUGCUGUGAAUACAUUAGCAUGGAAUAAUAAUUUAGGACUUCGGUUCUAUUUUGUUGGUUUCUAGGACUGAAGUAAUGAUUGAUAGGGACAGUUGGGGAUGCUGAAAUUCAUUGGCCAGAGGUGAAAUUCUUGGAUUCAAUGAAGUUCAACUCAUGCGAAAGCAUU